AUUGAACGCUGGCGGCAGGCUUAACACAUGCAAGUCGAGCGAGCGGCGGACGGGUGAGUAAUGUCUGGGAAACUGCCUGAUGGAGGGGGAUAACUACUGGAAGCGGUAGCUAAUACCGCAUACCAUCAGAUGUGCCCAGAUGGGAUUAGCUAGUAGGUGGGGUAAUGGCUCACCUAGGCGACGAUCCCUAGCUGGGCUGAGAGGAUGACCGGCCACACUGGAACUUGGACACGGCCCAGACUCCUACGGGAGGCAGCGGGGGGGAAUAUGGCAAAAGGGGCGCAAGCCGGAUGCAGCCAUGCCGCGUGUGUGAAGAAGGCCUUCGGGUUGUAAAGCACUUUCAGCGAGGAGGCUUUACUCGCAGAAGAAGCACCGGCUAACUCCGUGCCAGCAGCCGCGUAAUUC
rnacentral:rRNA from 1 species